GACUACUGGGGUAUCUAAUCCCGUUUGCUACCCUAGCUUUCGUGUCUGAGCGUCAGAAAUGGCCUAGGAGGCCGCUUUCGCCACUGGUGUUCCUCCGGAUAUCUACGCAUUUCACCACUACACCCGGAAUUCCACCUCCCUCUUCCAUUCUCUAGUCUGGCAGUUUUGAACGACCUCUCCCAGUUAAGCCGGGAGCUUUCACAUCCAACUUACCAAACCGCCUGCACACGCUUUACGCCCAAUAAAUCCGGAUAACGCUUGCCUCCUACGUUUUACCGCGGCUGCUGGCACGUAGUUCGCCGAGGCUUAUUCUGGAGAUACUGUCCUUUCUCAUCUCUCCUAAAAGCGCUUUACAACCCGAAGGCCGUCAUCGCGCACGCGGCGUUGCUGGAUCAGGCUUUUGCCCAUUGUCCAAUAUUCCCCACUGCAGCCACCCGUAGG
rnacentral:rRNA from 1 species